GUUUACACUGUUCCCAAGCUCUACCAAAGCCUGUCUACGGAAAGCCUGUUCACUCCCUAUUUAACCCCACUGUACCAAAUGAGUUCCACAGGGGGUGAUCGCAGGCAAGUGCAAAAAGAAUGGGACUCUAUGGAGCUAGAU